rnacentral:pre_miRNA from 1 species
UAUAUACUCCCUCCAUCCGGAAAUACUUGUCAUCAAAAUGAAUAAAAGGGGAUGUAUCUAGAUGUAUUUUAGUUCUAGAUACAUCUUUUUUGUCUAUUUUGAUGACAAGUAUUUUCGGACGGAGGGAGUAUAUA